ACCUUUCUUCAAAUUAGAUGAUCUUCUGGGCCUCCUUACCCUGGACCCCUACUCUAGGCAGCACUCCCAAAGCCUCAAGCAAAGAAGUGAAGCCAUCACCAGAUUUUAGACACCGAAAAUGGGGGGAUCCUGGUGUAGACAAAUAGGAUUUCUCAGCCCAUUACCCCUGUGCCAAGAGCAUGCCAUGACGAGGGCCACCUACCUGGCCUUCACGUACGUGAAGAACCACACAGUUCCACUACAAAAUGGUCUCUGUUUAAAGCAUAAACGAAGCCUGCAAAUAAAUGCAAAUCCACUGUU